rnacentral:rRNA from 1 species
CCUACGGGUGGCAGCAGUAGGGAAUAUUUCUCAAUGGGGGAAACCCUGAUGCAGCAACGCCGCGUGGAGGAUGAAGGUUUUCGGAUUGUAAACUCCUUUUGUUAGAGAAGAUAAUGACGGUAUCUAACGAAUAAGCACCGGCUAACUCCGUGCCAGCAGCCGCGGUAAUACGGAGGGUGCAAGCGUUAAUCGGAAUCACUGGGCGUAAAGAGCGCGUAGGCGGUAUAGCAAGUCAGAUGUGAAAUCCUAUGGCUUAACCAUAGAACUGCAUUUGAAACUGUUAUUCUAGAGUAUGGGAGAGGUAGGUGGAAUUCUUGGUGUAGGGGUAAAAUGCGUAGAGAUCAAGAGGAAUACUCAUUGCGAAGGCGACCUGCUAGAACAUAACUGACGCUGAUGCGCGAAAGCGUGGGGAGCAAACAGGAUUAGAUACCCGUGUAGUC